GCUCAGACGAACGCUGCGGCGUGCCUAAUACAUGCAAGUCGAGCGGACUAAUUGGAGCUUGCUCCAAUUAGUUAGCGGCGGACGGGUGAGUAACACGUGGGCAACCUACCUAUAAGACUGGGAUAACUUCGGGAAACCGGAGCUAAUACCGGAUGACACAAAGGAACUCCUGUUCCUUUGUUGAAAGAUGGCUUCGGCUAUCACUUAUAGAUGGGCCCGCGGCGCAUUAGCUAGUUGGUGAGGUAACGGCUCACCAAGGCGACGAUGCGUAGCCGACCUGAGAGGGUGAUCGGCCACACUGGGACUGAGACACGGCCCAGACUCCUACGGGAGGCAGCAGUAGGGAAUCUUCCGCAAUGGACGAAAGUCUGACGGAGCAACGCCGCGUGAGCGAUGAAGGCCUUCGGGUCGGAAAGCUCUGUUGUUAGGGAAGAACAAGUGCUAGUUGAAUAAGCUGGCACCUGAC
rnacentral:rRNA from 1 species